GAUGAACGCUGGCGGCGUGCCUAAUACAUGCAAGUAGAACGCUGAAGGAAGGAGCUUGCUCUUUCCGGAUGAGUUGCGAACGGGUGAGUAACGCGUAGGUAACCUGCCUGGUAGCGGGGGAUAACUAUUGGAAACGAUAGCUAAUACCGCAUAACAGUAGAUGUUGCAUGAUAUCUACUUAAAAGGUGCAAUUGCACCACUACCAGAUGGACCUGCGUUGUAUUAGCUAGUUGGUGAGGUAACGGCUCACCAAGGCGACGAUACAUAGCCGACCUGAGAGGGUGAUCGGCCACACUGGGACUGAGACACGGCCCAGACUCCUACGGGAGGCAGCAGUAGGGAAUCUUCGGCAAUGGACGGAAGUCUGACCGAGCAACGCCGCGUGAGUGAAGAAGGUUUUCGGAUCGUAAAGCUCUGUUGUAAGAGAAGAACGAGUGUGAGAGUGGAAAGUUCACACUGUGACGAUAUCUUACCAGAAAGGGACGGCUAACUACGUG
rnacentral:rRNA from 1 species